AUACUUACCUGGCAGAAGAUAGAUGAUCAUGUAGGUGUUUUUCCCAUGCCAAGACUUACUUAUUGCAUUCCAGGAUGUGAUGACGCCUGGUAUUUCCUCUAAUGGGGGAAAUUCAACUGUAUAAUUUGUGGUAGUGGAAAGACUGCAUUCAAGGCCUCCCU
ensembl:snRNA LOC120097313 U1 spliceosomal RNA